rnacentral:lncRNA from 1 species
AGACUUGGAUAUACCUUCUCACAGCCGUUGCAUUGAGCAAGAUCCAGAAACAAAUAGGAGCCAUAACAAAGCAGAAACCACAGAAAACAGAACACAAAAGAAAACGAGUAAAAGUGAUCAUCAGAGGCUUCACUUCAUGAGUUAUCCGUGAGUCCUCUGAUUAGGUGAGAAAAAAAUACAAUAUGGAAUGUAGAUAUUGGCAUGAUUCUUGGGCGUUUCACAACAGAGACAAGACAUGCUCAGAUUAACAAUACCAAA